rnacentral:misc_RNA from 1 species
UACGGAGGGGGCUAGCGUUGUUCGGAAUUACUGGGCGUAAAGCGCACGUAGGCGGACUGGAAAGUUGGGGGUGAAAUCCCGGGGCUCAACCUCGGAACUGCCUUCAAAACUAUCGGUCUGGAGUCCGGGAGAGGUGAGUGGAAUGCCUAGUGUAGAGGUGAAAUUCGUAGAUAUUCGGAGGAACACCAGUGGCGAAGGCGGCUCACUGGCCCGCAACUGACGCUGAGGUGCGAAAGCGUGGGGAGCAAACAGG